rnacentral:sRNA from 1 species
GAGACUAUAAGGUUCUGAAAAAACUAAUGUUAGCCAAUAUUUUGAGGAGUUUCUUAUUAAAACACAGGUUGUUACAAACAUUUGGUCUU